GAGAACUUGUUGAAAGCUCUACUACUACUACUACUACUAAUCAAGGAAGUGGUGUUAACAGUUCAUCACAGAGAAACUUUUCGAGGUGGUUCAUGAACCAAACGAGGUGGUUCAUGAACCAAACGAGUCGAACUAUACAUAGCUCAAGUUUUACUCAUUUAUUUAACGAAUUAAUUUUUAACUUAAGUUCGACUCAUUUGAUUCAUGAGCCAAGUUUAACGAAUUAUUUACCGAACUAUUUUUGAGUUAGUUCGGUUCAUUGUUAACGCUACCUAAGCCAAUAAACCACUACCUAGACUAGAGCCAAUAAACCAGAAGAGAUGGUAAGUAUAUCAACAAAAACUUACACAUCCCUAUAUCACCUAUCUAUCUAUCUAAGCAAGCAAUCUAAGGGGAAUCUAUUCCAUUCAUAUAAAUUACACAUUUACGCACACACACCAGG
rnacentral:lncRNA from 1 species